AGCAACACACAAGUCUCUCUUUCUCUUUCUUCUUCUCUGGGUAGGAGCAGCUCAGCUAAACCCAAAUUAACAAUGUAAAUCGAAGCCCUAAACCCUAAUUAACCUUACAUCAAACAAUGAAUUGAAGAUGAAUCGGUAGAUGAGAUCAAAUGAGUUAUUAGUUGAUGAUGAAGAAACAUAGUAAAGAAGAUAUGGAAGAAGAAGAAGAAGAAGGUGGUGUUGGAAGAAGUUUUUUGAGUUAUAAAUCAAAGAUGUUGCUUCUAAAGAUCCAGAAGACCAAAAAGAAGAAACAAACAGAUGGUUUAUUGUGUGCUAUCUUCGGUGGGGGCGGAAUCGGAAUAUCUAACAUUCUCUAAACUGUCUGAGCAUCUAUAGUGGGUUUCCGGGUAUCUAUAAUGACGAAGAUACAACCAUUGGUCUCAUAACCUGCAUAACAGGACCCGAAAUUUGUCGUCAAUUUACGGAGGCAGAUCUGGUCGAUAUUGGGUCCAAUGUUCGACUGUUUUGAAUGUUUCAGAAAAAACAAAAUGGUUUAUUGGGUACUCAUCUUCAAAGGUGUGAGCGGAAUCGGACAAUGAUACAUGCUCUUAGACUGAACGGUGCAAGGAUUCUAGAACACCCCUUUUUCUGGGAUGUUACAAAAUCUCUGAAUGGGAGAAUAUCUUGAUAAUGUUGAUCAUCUGGAUUUGUUGUGGUACUUUCCGCAUUAUCAAGAGUAAAAGCCACCAAAAAACCAAGCACACAAUUGGUAGUAAAAGAUUCCCUGAACGCAAAGCUGAAAUGGCUCAAAGAAUGGAGGGAACCCACCAACUGAAAGUGAUGUAUACAUUGAAACCCCUGCAAAUAAAGUAGAAAAGCUUUGCACCCAAUUCUUGAAGGCUACAUACGUAAUAGAUUACCCGCAGAAUCUAUUACGGGCAGAAUCUCCAGCAUUCUGUCAUAGAUUACCCGCAGAAUCUCCAGCAUGUGAAUGGGCAGUUGUUCAGGGUCCUAAUGAAGCAUGUUGGAUUGUAGAAGUGAAUAAAACUCAAAAUGGCACCUAACUUGAGGAAGGCUGGGAAAUAUUUGUGAGAGACACUGGCUUACUAAAGUACAAUUUCUUAGUUUUCAGGCUUGAUGGUGGGAUGUGGGGAAGAUAAAUUGGAUGUCUAGCUACAAAAUGAAGAAUGUCUCAGUUGGGAGGUUCUUGUCAGACCAUUAAGUGUAUCAAUACAUGUUCUGUGCAGGCUGGAAAGACUUUGCCAUCGGCUACAGGUGAUUGUAUGAUACUUGAACUCGUUAAUACCAGUUCCUGUUCUUUCUCCAGCUCCGCGCAAGAAAAUAAUGGACCACAAGAAGAGUAUCUCGCUAGUUUACCUUCUUCGACUCUUGCACAAGAAAGAAAGAGAUGUGGAAGGCCAUGUGAAAAUUCAACGGUAAAAAAGGGAGGCUCACAGAAGCAGGAUUGUGCUUGAAGUUGUUCAAAAUGCAGUAUUUUAAGGAUACAUGUGAUUAGUGAAGAGUGCAGUCUUGAUUCUGUGCACAGUUUUUUUUGUCUGGUGUGCCUGCUACUAAGGAAAACAGUUCAAUACCUUGCCUAUGACAGGAUUUCUUAGAUGAACAUUUUUGCUUAUCUGUAUAGGAUUUCUGCGAUACACAUUUUUGCUUAUCCGUGUUUCUACAUGACAUCGUUAGAAGGUUAUUGAAAUAAAGUUACUGAUUUUUGUAGUACUUACAGUUAUUGGUUGGGUUGUAAUUAGAAACCUUUGAAAUACUGAAUUAUCCGUGGAUCUGUAAAUUUAACUUUAUUCUUUUGUAAAUGAAAUAAUGGAUA